GGGGAAUCUUGCGCAAAUGCGGGAAACCGUGACGCAGCGACGCCGCGUGGGGGAAGAAGGCCUUCGGGUUGUAAACCUCUUUCAGGAGGGACGAAGCUACUCGGGUUAAUAGCCCAGAGGGUGACGGUACCUUCAGAAGAAGCCCCGGCUAACUACGUGCCAGCAGCCGCGGUAAUACGGAGGGUGCAAGCGUUAUCCGGAUUCACUGGGUUUAAAGGGUGCGUAGGCGGGCAGGUAAGUCAGUGGUGAAAUCUUCGAGCUUAACUCGGAAACUGCCUUUGAUACUAUCUGUCUUGAAUAUUGUGGAGGUAAGCGGAAUAUGUCAUGUAGCGGUGAAAUGCUUAGAUAUGACAUAGAACACCUAUUGCGAAGGCAGCUUACUACGCAUAUAUUGACGCUGAGGCACGAAAGCGUGGGGAUCAAAC
rnacentral:rRNA from 1 species